rnacentral:lncRNA from 1 species
GGACGACUCGGCAGGUGCCGGGGACGUCUCCAAGUGUGCCAGUUCUUCCUGUUUGUGCCAGAGACGUCUCUGAGACUAUCAGGAGACGUCUCGGCUGUCCCUGAACUUUUUCUUUCAUCUCAAAAAAAUUCUUCAAUAAAUUCAUAAAAAUUAUGGGAACUUGCCUAGACAUUUCUUAACAAUAUUCUUAAUAAAACACAUGAAUUUCUCAAUUAAAUUGUUAAGAUAAAUGGAAUUAUACUCUAGUGUUUUGUAUUCAUCAAAAUCCAUUAGGGGGUCAACAACUUGUCUUUCUUAUUCCUGAACAAGGAUUUAACUUCAGGUGUUGAUGUGCAUGUAAGAAAAAAUGAAUGGGCGUUGUGGUGACCUCAGUACUGACCCAGCAAAAUCCUGCUGGUCAUUAAUGGGUGUACUAGUAAAAUCAUAGUUGCAUGAGUUACAUAUUCAUGCAUUUACAGACAACUUUGCUAAAGAUGUAUGUGGGCUGAGACAUGUAUUAAGUGCC